rnacentral:lncRNA from 1 species
CUUUCAUCGGUUUUAGCUUUUCCUUUACCGGACAUUUUUUUCAACGAAAAUGGCAUAAUAAUUAUAAUUAAACAAACUAACAACACACAAAAAUAUUCUUAGCACGUAAGAGUUGAAACGAGUUUACCGGAUUGACCAACAACUUCUUGAAAAUUGAAAAUCGUUGAAAUUGAACACUUGAAAACUUCAAUUCAACAACUUCACAAUGUUUCACGAAUUUGCAACAAUAAAUUAAGC